CUCUUCUUCCAAUUCACGCGCCCCUCCCCCUCUCGUCUCUCCCUCCGUCCCGGCCGAUCCGGCGAUUCCCCAUUCCGCGAAGCCACCGCGCCUCCCGAAUCCCCGUCGAGUCCGAGCUUCCAGAGGCACCCGUGCGCGGGAUCUCCCCCAAUCGCCUCCCAAUCCCGCGCGCCCGCGCACUGAGAUCAACAUAAACAACUACUGAUUGGUACAAAAUGCCAAUAAGCUUCAAAUAUUGGGAUGACUGCUUGGAUCCAGAGGAUAUGAGAUUAAUGUGGCAAGAUCCUGUUGUAAGUAAAGAGUGGACUGAUGCUGGAGAAGAGCAGGGACAGAAAGUUCAUCUCUCACGGGACCCUGAUGGUGAGGCAUAUCUCACACAAACUGAAAUGAUGGCGGUGGCUUCAAUCAUUGUUCAUAGACAUUUCAAAUCACAACUAGACCCGUAUAUGAUAGGCGCACUUGCGGAAAUUGCAAGUGGAAGGAGACUCUUUGUAGAUACCUAUGAUCGCAAGACAAAAGAGACCAAGGUUGGCAUAAUGCAGGUAGCACCUGAAGUUGCUCAAUGGCUUGGAAGGGAAUUGGGUUACAAGAAAUAUGAUAUUGAAGAUGAUACCAAUUUGCUCUACUGGCCUCUUGUAAAUGUCUACUUUGGUGCUGCUUAUGCCAAAUGGCUCUUCUCUUGUGAUGACAAACAAAGAACUGAAGAAUUUGUAGUUAGAGCAUAUAAGGGUGGCAAAAAGAAGGCUUCUCACAAAUCAACUUCCCCCAUUUUCCAGCGUUAUCUUUAUGUGAAAGAGAGCUUGUUGUCUAUAAGACAACCAGAAAUUUGCAACGAGAUCACUCCUGACCUUGAAAAUUUAUCAAGCACAGAAGCACAGUUGAUAUAUUGGGAUUCCAAGGUAUCAGAGGCUGAUAUGGAUGCAAUGUGGAAACAUCCUGAUGUGUAUAAGGAGUGGACAAAAUCCGGUGAGCGACGUGGAAAUGUACGAUUCUCCCAUGAUGCAAAGAAGAGGCCUUACCUUUCUCGCGUGGAGGUGAAGGCUGUUGCAGAAAUAAUCAUAUCACGCCAUUUGACCACUAGAGGAUCAAAACCAGAAGCUCUUGCGGCACUUGCAGAGGUCUGCAGUAUGCGUUUUGUUCAUGGAGUAAGUACCCGGACUGGAUUGAUGGGAAUAGACUAUCCUACUGCUGCAUGGCUUUCCAGGGAUUGUGGUUACAGGGCGUAUACAGUGAUCUCUGUGGAUGAUCUCUACAAUCCUUUUGCAUCAAUGUACUUUGGUGCAUCUUACUUGGCAUGGUUGUCGCAUUACGAAGGAAGGGAACAAAGUUAUGAAUUCAUUGUUCAAGCUUACCUCGGGGGACCAGAGAAUGUUAACCUUCAGGAGACUGGUCCACUUUGGAACCAAUUCUUGGAGGCAUUAACACAGUAUCAAGAUCCAAAGAAGUGGGCUUGUGCUUUCACUUUGCUUGACAUUUUUUUCCAAUGAAUUUUUUAGCUUAAAAUGAGACGUGGGAGUCAUCAAAACUUGUGUAACUGAGUAGUCAGCCAAGAGUGUGCCAAGGAGCAACAUUGGCAUAUAAUUUUUCUGACAUAUAAAAUGACAUUCCAUCACCUGAGUAACCUCAAUAUUGAUUCUGACAUGUUCAUAAAUGCAAGCAAUUUUAUACCUCAGAUUAUCAUUUGAUAACCAUAUUAGCACCUAGCAAUUACAUAAAUGUUCUUGGCCUGCAUAUUUCUGACCAUAGUGGCAAAUUGUACAUUUUUCAGGGAUAAUAAUAGCUGCUGUAUUUUGUGAAGUUGCUGAUAUGCCUCCGUCUUUGGUUACUGAAGAUUGGCUCCCAAGGGUUCAGCAUUGGUAAGCAACACGCUUUGCCUGAACUACAUGAUGCACAAGGUAACAGGGGCUGCCAAUUCGUAUAUAUUUUGGCUGUUCGUGCUCUGUUCAUGCUCAGGGAAAUGCACCAACGUGAUUGAACCCGUCGCCGUUCAUAGAGCCCUUUCCAGCUCCUGUUCCAUUUGUUUUCUUUUCUUUUUUUUACCAUCAGAUGCCAACGGUCUUCCUGUCCUGUCCACUUAUUGGUGUAUUGUAAGUUGUACUUUUGUUGUGUAGGAACUCAUAGAAGCCAUGCAUUUGUAAAAUCAUCCACGGUCCAUAGUUUAUGAGCUAGGCUGCUACAGAUGGUAAAACAUGCCAGUGCCUACAGAAACAGAUGUAGAUUCUUGAUUGUACCUCUCUCACUGCAAGUCUGCAACCAUUGAUCCCGAACGUUGUUUCUUUGCCUGGAUUGAGGGAUGAAUGAAAUGUCGUCACAGUUCUGACUUC